UGAGUACGAGCUGCUACGGCAGCGAAGUGGGUGAUGUCAAGCUUCCAAGAAAAGCCCUAUACCCGUUAAGGCAUGACGGCCUGUACCCGAAACCGACACAGGUGGGUAGGUAGAGUAUACUAAGGGGCGCGAGAUAACUCUCUCUAAGGAACUCGGCAAAAUGACUCCGUAACUUCGGGAGAAGGAGUGCCUUAUUUAUAAGGUUGCAAUAACAAGAUCCAAGCAACUGUUUAUCAAAAACACAGGUCUCCGCUAAGUCGUAAGACGAUGUAUGGGGGCUGACGCCUGCCCAGUGCCAGAAGGUUAAAGAAGUUGGUUAGUGUAUGCGAAGCUGAUGACUGAAGCCCUGGUGAACGGCGGCCGUAACGAUAACGGUCCUAAGGUAGCGAAAUUCCUUGUCGGGUAAGUUCCGACCCGCACGAAAGGCGUAAUGAUUUGGAUACUGUCUCGGAGAGAGGCUCGUUGAAAUAGACUUGUCUGUGAAGAUGCGGACUACCUGCACCAGGACAGAAAGACCCUAUGAAGCUUUACUGUAACUUGAAAUUGGAAUUGGACUUUGCUUGCGCAGUAUAGGUGGGAAGCGUUGAAAAUAUUCUUGCGGGAGUAUUGGAGCUAUCAGUGAGAUACCACUCUUGUAAUGUUAGAUUUCUAACUUUGAACCAUAAUCUGGUCAAAGAACAGUUUCAGGUGGGCAGUUUGACUGGGGCGGUCGCCUCCCAAAUGGUAACGGAGGCGUACAAAGGUUUCCUCUGAACGGAUAGAAAUCGUAUCUAGAGUGUAAAGGCAUAAGGAAGCUUGACUGUGAGACCUACAAGUCGAGCAGGGACGAAAGUCGGUCUUAGUGAUCUGACGGUACUGAGUGGAAAGGCCGUCACUCAACGGAUAAAAGUUACUCUAGGAUAACAGGCUGAUCUCCCCCAAGAGUUCACAUCGACGGGGAGGUUUGGCACCUCGAUGUCGGCUCAUCGCAUCCUGGGGCGGUAGUACGUCCCAAGGGUUGGGCUGUUCGCCCAUGAAAGCGGUACGCGAGCUGGGUUCAGAACGUCGUGAGACAGUUCGGUCCAUAUCCGGUGUAGGCGCUAGAAUAUUAAGAGGAGCCUUCUUUAGUACGAGAGGACCGAGAAGGACACACCGCUGGUGUACCAGUUAUCGUGCCAACGGUAAACGCUGGGUAGCUAUGUGUGGAGUGGAUAACCGCUGAAAGCAUCUAAGUGGGAAGCCCACCUCGAGAUGAGUAUUC
rnacentral:rRNA from 1 species